ensembl:rRNA 5S_rRNA 5S ribosomal RNA
GACAUUUGGUAGAGACUGUUGAAGCCACCUGGUCGCAGCAGACCCCGGAAGACAGCCACAUUCACUGGUGCUGGGGCAAGCUUGUUGAGGGUGAAGCCUGGUGUCAGAUGUGU